rnacentral:rRNA from 1 species
UACGUAGGUUGCAAGCGUUGUCCGGAUUUACUGGGCGUAAAGAGUGCGCAGGCGGUCGUUCAAGUCGCGUGUGAAAGCCCCCGGCUCAACUGGGGAGGGUCACGCGAUACUGAUCGACUCGAAGGCAGGAGAGGGUAGUGGAAUUCCCGGUGUAGUGGUGAAAUGCGUAGAUAUCGGGAGGAACACCAGUGGCGAAGGCAGCUCGCUGGAACGAUACUGACGCUGAGGCGCGAAAGCGUGGGGAGCAAACAGG